GUGCCGGCCUCCUUCCUUGUGGCCCUUGUCUAAGGGUCCCGAGAAGUGCCUGGCCUAAUCACCCCUCACCUGGCUCUGGCCUUGGCUGCCCUUUGCUCUCGUCGGCGGCCUCGCGGGCCACCCGGCCCCCCUCUUGGGCCUCUCUCUCCCCUCGGGAAGCCACCCGACCUCUGGGACCAGCCUGGGAGCUCUGCCUGAGUACUCUCGUGUGGAGUGGGAGAAGAGCGCCGCCCUGGGCGGCAGGAAGGCGAGCGAGGCCACCUGUCAGCGCGUCGGAGUCUCCAGCCUGGGCGGUUGACCUGGACCUGGGCAGUGCGCGAGGCCGAGGCCGUGUCUGGGUCAGUGUUCCACCGGCGCGGAAGAGAAUAGCGGGGUGCGGCGGCCAGUGGAGCAGCCUAAGGUGGGCUGGAAAAGCGCCGCCGGGUAUGGUCUCCAAAGUAGAGGGUUAGUAGUAGGGGUUAAAAAUCCCCUAAAACCUGAAAAUCGCUGUACCUUCUUUUAUCAGGUGAAUAUUCACGGGUGGACUUGAUGGCCAAAUCCGGGCUAUCUCCGUGUUUUCAGUGAAACACUGAGCCCUUGAACACUUUCUCCAGCAACUUGAAGCUUUGUUUAUAAGAGUACUUCUGAGAAACCAGUGAAAUACGUGCUUCAGACCCAGCCUUCCCUACUCUCGUGAACACAGUAUUUUUGAGGAUAAAGUAUUUGAGAUAUUAUUCCACUAAUUCACACUUCCGUUUUUCAACUACAGCAUAUGAUAUGCCCCUGGAAUUUCAAUCUUUCCUUCCUUCCUCAAACCUAGUUCCUGCACCUUGUACUCUGUGUCAGACACGUGACAGUACCUAACCCUCUGUUGGGGGUAUCGAAAGGUCUUGUGGGGCUGCAGAAGUUUAGAGGUUUUCGUUAAAAUAGGAUAUGUGAAUAAUUGUUUAAGAUCAUUAUUAACCAGCCAGGAAAGGUAUCUGCAUAAUUUAAUGACUGUCUUCCCAAAAAUCGAGAAUCCUAGGGUCAAUGUUUUAUUUUUGUUUUGCGUUAUUAUUAUAGAGGCAGAAAAUCUUGUCAUAGCAUUUUCUCCAAGACAUUACUGUCAAUUAGCUAGUCCUUAGUAAUAACUAAUAUCGGGAAGUGGGAAGGAGAGUUCCAGCACAGUCUACCCUGGUAUAUACUUUGCUAUCAAUGGCAGCCAAAGCAGAAGUUCUCCAUCUGGAGCCUUUGAAAGCCCUCAAGAAUGAUAUUUUUUUUUUUAAGUGGAAGAAACAUCAGUUUCAUUAACGUAUUUAUUGUCACCUGCAGAUUACUAAAGGAAUAGUAAAACUAAAAAAAACCAAAGCCAACAAACCUUGAGGCAAUCUUCAAAAAUUCUAAUGCUGAAGAAAGAAAAUACUACCACCUACUGGAAAAAUGUAGUUCUUACAGCAGCCUUGCUGUAAAAGAUCUUGAUUUAGUUAAUUUUUGAGCUACUUUUGAGAAAUACAAAGAUGAGCAGGAAUGAGUUACCAGUCCCCCUUGUUUUUGUGGGAUGACAAUACUCGUGAUUUCCCAUGCCUCUGGGCCUUUUCUCUGUUAAGACAGAGAAUAUAGAUAAAACCCAGUGAGGCUGCUUCAUUAUUCCUCAGAGUGAAGUCAAGACUCUGAAGGAAGGAAAGGAAUACUAUCAGCUAAAUAUAUGUUUGUGUAUUAAAUGUGGAAUUUUCCUAUAUGAACCUGUAUCCAAUUUUUAUGGAUAAUUAAGAAGUAGCUAACAAGUACUAAAGGUUCACACCCCCUUGGAAAAGCAAUGAAAAUAUGAGAUAGAGGACAUUGUUGUUAUGUCUGUGUUCACUAUUUUUUAUUUAGUCAUUUGAAAAAUACCUAUUGUUCACCUACUUUAUGCCAGGCAGUGGGUUAGGCAGUGAGUACACAGAGCACAGGUACUGAGUCCAUCAUGGUGUACCAAACAAAAGAUAGAUCAGAAUAUCAAAUGAAUUCACAUUCUUUUAACAUUCUUUUGUUUUUCUCCUCCCUAGACUCUGCAAAGGAAAGAAAUUAGUGUUUGCUCGCCCUUGGUUCAGACACUUCCUGUGGUUUCUGAAUCAACAUUGAAUACAUUCCAAGCUCUUUGGCCUGAAAUACAAAGACUCCAGCAUUUGGCCACUAUCUGCUGCUCUGGACUUUUCUCCAGAAUUUCAUUCACUAAUUCAUUCAACAAGAAGUAUUUAUCUAAUAUAAAUCACUGUGCAGGGCAAAUGGAGGAUACAAAAGUCGAAGAGAGGGCAUGGUCUCUUUAAUCUCUAGUGGAGAACAUAAAGUAUGGGGGUGUGCGUGCGCACACACGCACACACACACAUUUCACUGAAAGGUACAGUACACAGUAGGUCUAGGGGAAGAUUGCACACAGUGUUGAACAAUACCAGAGGAGGCAGAAAUUCUGCCAGAAAUUUCAGAAAUACAGUAGGCAUCUGGUGCCUUAUGUGUUGGUGCUCAUUGGAUAGUUUCAACAGAGAUGGGCAAAAUUUUAGGAAUCUAUCCUACUGCAACUAUAGCAUUAUUACUGUAAGGUAUACAAAAAUAUACAAGAAUGUUAAUUUCAGCAUUAUUUAUAUAGCAAAACACUAGACUGCAGAGUAAUGUGUGAAUAAAUUAUCAAACCUCCAUACUGUAAGUCUUAUACAACUGUUUUUAAAAAUGAGUUAUAGUUGGAAAAAAUGCAUCAGAAAUAUGAUAGAUUGAUGGAUAAAGGGAUUAUAGGUAAAGCAAUAUGUGAUAAACAUGAAAAAAAUGUUAAUUAUAGAAUCUAGAGUGUAUAGGUAUUAAGCAUUCAAUUCUUCCAAUUUUUUUGUAUACUCAUGUGUAUAAUAAAUUGUUGGGGA